GAAAAAAAAAAAAGAUUCCUACACAAUGGAUGUAAUGCAUCCUCUUAUGAGUAGGCCAAAAUGUGGAAGGAUAAUUUUGGUCCAAUACCAAAAGAUAUAUCUAUUUCAUUGUCUGGAUCUCAUUCUGGUUGUCCACUGAAUCAUUCUUUUUCUUUGCAAAGUUUAUGAUUUUUCCUGUGAUGACUGAACUGGAAAAAGAUGUGUGCUUGGUUUGAUUUGGAUCAUCAAUACCAGUUUGGGCUUUUAAAGUAAGCCUUCAGGAAAAAAGGGCUUUGUUGGGGUUCAUCUCAAGGAAAGUUACUUUCCUUUAGAGAAAAUUUUGGGAAGAAAUUUUCAUUUGCCAAUUUAGUACAAGAAUUUAGCUCCAUUUCUUAUCCCCUUGCCCCCCAAAUUUGAAAAUUUUGUUAAAGAAAAUCUUUAGAAAAGAUAAAAUGGUAAUAUUUUAUUACUUUCUUUUGGACAUUGGGCUAAAUUGACUGGAAUAUAGAAGUUGCAUCCUAAUUGGGCCAAAUAGCUCAAGAGCUAGCUUGAUUUUUUCUGUUCUUGUAAAGAAAUUUGAAGCUUUGAACAAAAUGGGUACUUGAGUCCUUGUCUUCUUCAACUUGGAUAUUAUGAUCCUUGACUUUUAAUUUGCAUAUGCUUCAAUCCUUCCAUUAAGAUAAUAUGUACUGCACCAUCGCCAUUUAAAUGAAAUGAUCUUAUAGUCCCUAAGAAAACUUAAAACUAAUUAUGAAAUCAAUGACGAAAUAGUUUUAUUUAAAAACUUGGAUACUUAAGUGUUUAUUACAUUAAUGGAAGGACUAAAGUGAGUGAAUUUAAACUCUAUGGACCAUUUAAUCUAAGUUGGAAAAAGAAAGAAACCAAAAUGGUAUAUUUUCUCUAAACUCAGAGGGAGGUGUUUCUAAUGUACCCAAACCAAAAAUCAAGAGAGCACUAGAUGCUGCUAUAUAUAUCCUUGGGGUAGCUUAAUGUUCAAGAUGGCAACUUCUUUGGCCUAAAUCAUUGUAUACGAGAUGGCCCUUCCUGAUAAAAGAAUGGAAACACAGGUAUUUAAAAAAGGGAAGGAAAUUCAGAUGGGUCAUAUUGUUUAUAACCAUGCUUUUGCAAGCAUGGUUGUGAUGAAAAAUUGUGUUGCCACAGUUGAAGUGCAUUAAUCAGGCUGAAAAUUGAAACAAUUGUAAGUCUUUCCCAAAAUUUUAUUGGAAUUUGGACUUCAUUUUUCUUCCUUUUCCUCCAGGAUGUGUGUGUAAUUAUAUGUUUAUAUUAUAUACCAUGUUUUGGGUAAUGUCAGUAUACUACUUACGCUGUUUAUAACAGUGCAUUUUGGUUGAAGCAUGCGUCUUAUUUUCUACUCCAGUUGAUUGAUUUUAUGUAUUUUUAAUUGAUGAUCAAUGUUGCUUGGUUAUUGUUAUUCGGAUUGUUCUUCUUUCUCCAUUAAUUGAGUCUGAUUGUUCAGGGUUUUAAGAGAGUAUUUAAUGUGGCUGGGGGAAUCCACGCUUAUGCUGUCAAGGCUGAUCCAUCAAUUCCUACUUAUUGACAGAGUUUGCUAUUCCAUCGAUCAGGUUGCUUCACAGUAGUUGUACAUUUCCAAAAUGGAAUUCUUUGAGCAAGAAAAUUGUAUUAUGAUGCAGCUGAUAUGAGAAGUAGCCACUACCAAUUUUGCAGAUAUUAUUCUGAGAGAGGGAGAAUAAAUGAGUUCAUUUUGUUUCUGGUGUUUCGUUCACUAUUAUUACAAUUCUGGAAGUGAAACUUUACUGGUGGUCUUGAAUUUGGACUCGUUUUCACUAUCCAACCAACCCCAACCACAUCAGCUGCAGUAUAAGAAAUAAUUUAAACUGAAUGUCUUGGUCUGGCCUCUGGGUGCAGUUUAGAACAUAGAUAGCCUAAAAAGAACCGAGCCAAACUUAUUAUACUAACAAAAAUACGCUGUUUUACCUUUCAUAUGUUUCUAUAUGUGUGUUUCACAGUCGGCAUAAAGUACAAGGUUGUGUUUGAUGUUUAAAUCUUGUUUUAAUGGCUGUGUUAUCAUCAGUUUUGUGUUUACUAUCAAUUCCACUUUAGUUAACGAAACAGGCAAGUUAACUUGAUCCCAGAUGUGAAUAUUAGCAAUAGCUUAUGGCUUAUUUGUUGUCCCUUCCAGCUUAAGAGGAUCCAUGUUGCCUUUGUG
rnacentral:misc_RNA from 1 species